rnacentral:rRNA from 1 species
CAGUAGCCGCGGGAAUACGAAGGGGGCUAGCGUUGUUCGGAUUUACUGGGCGUAAAGGGUGCGUAGGCGGACUGAUAAGUCAGGGGUGAAAUCCCAAGGCUCAACCUUGGAACUGCCUUUGAUACUGUUAGUCUUGAGUUCGAGAGAGGUGAGUGGAACUGCGAGUGUAGAGGUGAAAUUCGUAGAUAUUCGCAAGAACACCAGUGGCGAAGGCGGCUCACUGGCUCGAAACUGACGCUGAGGCACGAAAGCGUGGGGAGCAAACAGGAUUAGAUACCCGCGUAGUCCCUGUCUCUUAUAA